rnacentral:rRNA from 1 species
GACGAACGCUGGCGGCGUGCUUAACACAUGCAAGUCGAACGGAAAGGCCCUGCUUUUGUGGGGUGCUCGAGUGGCGAACGGGUGAGUAACACGUGAGUAACCUGCCCUUGACUGUGGGAUAAAUUAAGGAAACUGGGGCUAAUACCGGAUAGGAGCUCCUGAUGCAUGGUGGGGGUUGGAAAGUUUCGGCGGUUGGGGAUGGACUCGCGGCGGAUCAGCUUGUUGGUGGGGUAGUGGCUUACCAAGGCUUUGACGGGUAGCCGGCCUGAGAGGGUGACCGGCCACAUUGGGACUGAGAUACGUCCCAGACUCCUACGGGAGGCAGCAGUGGGGAAUAUUGCACAAUGGGCGGAAGCCUGAUGCAGCAACGCCGCGUGCGGGAUGACGGCCUUCGGGUUGUAAACCGCUUUCGCCUGUGACGAAGCGUGAGUGACGGUAAUGGGUAAAUAAGCACCGGCUAACUACGUG